rnacentral:rRNA from 1 species
GUGAUAGGGGAACCCUGAGUGCUCAGCUAUGCUGGGCUUUUGCCAAGAUUAAAACCCUUGGCGAAUAAGUGGUGGGUAAGACGGGUGCCAGCCGCCGCGGUAACACCCGCGCCACAAGUGGCAAUCAGUAUUAUUGGGCCUAAAGCGUCCGUAGCAGGUUUUGUAAAUCUCCUGUGAAAUUGUUCAGCUCAACUGAACAACGUGCAAGAGACACUGCAGAACUUGGGACCGGGAGGAGUCAGAGGUAUUCCAUGGGGAGCGGUAAAAUGCUAUAAUCCAUGGAGGACCACCUAUGGCGAAGGCAUCUGACCAGAACGGAUCCGACUGUGAGGGACGAAAGCCAGGGGAGCAAACCGGAUUAGAUACCCGAGUAGUCCUGGCUGUAAACGCUGCGAGCUAGGUGUUGCGCAAUCUUAGUGAUUGUGCAGUAUCGGAGCGAAGGUGUUAAGCUCGCCGCCCGGGAAGUACGGU